GCCUAGCCUUAAACAUUGAUGGCCCAAUACAACCACCAUCCGCCUGGAAACUACGAGCACCAGCUUGAAACCCAAAGGACUUGGCGGUGCUUUAGAUCCACCUAGAGGAGCCUGUUCUAGAACCGAUAACCCCCGUUUAACCUCACCCCUCCUUGCUCUUCCCGUCUAUAUACCGCCGCCGUCAGCUUACCCUGUGAAGGGUCAAUAGUAAGCAAAAUUGGCAUAGCCCAAAACGUCAGGUCGAGGUGUAGCUAAUGGAGGGGGAAGAAAUGGGCUACAUUCACUAGUCCUAGUGAAUACGAACGAUAUACUGAAAUAUAUAUCUAAAGGAGGAUUUAGAAGUAAGUGGGAAACAGAGUGUCCCACUGAAAUUGGCUCUAAAGCACGCACACACCGCCCGUCAC
rnacentral:rRNA from 1 species